AUUAUAUUUGAAAUAUUCUGUUGCAAUAUUGAGAAAUAAUUCGUUUGAUAUUCAAACUGAAAAUUCUGUCUCCGUCACGACAACAGCUGGCGGUAAAUAAAUUUUAUUUCGCUGUAAAUAAAUUGUAUUCUUCGCAAAUAAAUAUGGCAGACCGGUGCUACAUUUCUGUUGCAGACACUUCAAAAGACACAAAGAGUUCUGGGAAUCAUCUAACAUUUGUGAAUUUAUUUGGAAAUUUGACAACGAGCACAAAAUUUGUUUGAAGACACGAGAGAAUAUAAAUAAUUUUUUCCAAAAUUUAUAACUGUAAAUAAAGUGUGUAAGAGAAGUUAAUUAAUUGAGAGAAAUAUCUGAUAGAGACCAAAUUGUGAAUGUCAUAAAGGCCGAAUCUCAACUACAACGCUCUGUAACGUGGUCGCUUUGAGACAAAUAAGAAAAUUUCUUCCGAAAAUUUCUAAUAUUACAGUGGUAAGGAGGUACAAUAUACUUGUCGGAGAGAGGGUCAGAGUGGAGAGGGUGGAAGUCCAACGAAAAUCAAAAUUUGUGACCACCUAAAUGUUUCACACCCACGCCACAAGGUUUCCACGCAAACGUUCUGGUCAUAAAUAUUAAAGUAUUGCCCAAAUGUCAGAACAGUAAAUCAUUCGCAAAGUAACCGCAAGCGUAGUUGUAAUAGUCCGCAAGGGCCAAUUUUGGUACACAUUUCAAUUGGAAAAGGUAAACAGUAAAUAUGACGACUUAAAGGCGGAAAAUGAAUUGAUUGAGAAUGAUUCACUUACCAUUUGGUUUCCUUAAUGGACCUUAUACGAUAUUAUCGGCCAGUAAGUUAAAUACAUUUUCAU